rnacentral:rRNA from 1 species
CCUACGGGAGGCAGCAGUGGGGAAUAUUGCACAAUGGGGGGAACCCUGAUGCAGCAACGCCGCGUGGGUGAAGAAGGACUUCGGGAUGGAAAGCCCUGUCAGCAGGGAAGAAAAUGACGGUACCUGACCAAGAAGCCCCGGCUAACUACGUGCCAGCAGCCGCGGUAAUACGUAGGGGGCAAGCGUUAUCCGGAUUUACUGGGUGUAAAGGGAGCGUAGACGGCAUGGCAAGUCUGGAGUGAAAGCCCGUGGCUCAACCACGGGACUGCUUUUGAAACUGUGUUGCUGGAGUGCAGGAGGGGUCAGCGGAAUUCCUGGUGUAGCGGUGAAAUGCGUAGAUAUUAGGAGGAACACCGGUGGCGAAGGCAGCUUACUGGACUGUAACUGACGUUGAGGCUCGAAAGCGUGGGGAGCAAACAGGAUUAGAUACCCCAGUAGUC